GAACGCUGGCGGCGUGGAUUAGGCAUGCAAGUCGAACGGUAUCAUCCUUUCGGGGGUGAGAGAGUGGCGAACUGGUGAGUAACACGUAGGUUAUCUACCCUCAAGACGGGGACAACCCAGGGAAACUUGGGCUAAUACCGGAUGUGAGCAACUUUUAGUUGUUUGAAAGGUGGCGUAAGCUGUCGCUUGGGGAUGAGCCUGCGUCCUAUUAGUUAGUUGGUGAGGUAACGGCUCACCUAGGCAAUGAUAGGUAGGCGGCCUUAACGGGUGGUCGCCCACACUGGGAUUGAGAUACGGCCCAGACUCCUACGGGAGGCAGCAGUCGAGAAUAGUCUACAAUGGUCGGAAGACUGAUAGUGCGACGCCGCGUGAACGAUGAAUCCCUUCGGGGUGUAAAGUUCUUUUAUAUGUGAGCAGUGCUUCUUAUAUUAACAGUAUGGGGAGAGAGAUAUUAGCAUAUGAAUAAGCAACGGCUAACUCCGUG
rnacentral:rRNA from 1 species